rnacentral:lncRNA from 1 species
AAUUUCCUACCUAACUUAAACUUGUACUCCUUAUUCAGCUUCUCUUUCAUAAACCUUUCAAACUUGGGCCAUUCAUCAUCACCCGAUACAUCUGGAUCUGAAUUAUCCAAUUCAUCACUACAAUAUUCAUCAUCUUCAAUUUUCUUUUUGGGCCUACCUAGUAAUCCUGCAACUAUGUCCCCAUGAUUUAUAGGUAUAAUUACAUUAACUCCAUCAAAUCCAUUUACAA